UGGAUCCAGACUUUGAUUAUGGCUCAGGAUGAACGCUAGCUACAGGCCUAACACAUGCAAGUCGAGGGGAAACGACAUCGAAAGCUUGCUUUUGAUGGGCGUCGACCGGCGCACGGGUGAGUAACGCGUAUCCAACCUGCCCAUCACUUGGGGAUAACCUUGCGAAAGUAAGACUAAUACCCAAUGACGUCUCUAGAAGACAUCUGAAAGAGAUUAAAGAUUUAUCGGUGAUGGAUGGGGAUGCGUCUGAUUAGCUUGUUGGCGGGGUAACGGCCCACCAAGGCAACGAUCAGUAGGGGUUCUGAGAGGAAGGUCCCCCACAUUGGAACUGAGACACGGUCCAAACUCCUACGGGAGGCAGCAGUGAGGAAUAUUGGUCAAUGGGCGAGAGCCUGAACCAGCCAAGUAGCGUGCAGGAUGACGGCCCUAUGGGUUGUAAACUGCUUUUAUAAGGGAAUAAAGUGAGUCUCGUGAGACUUUUUGCAUGUACCUUAUGAAUAAGGACCGGCUAAUUCCGUGCCAGCAGCCGCGGUAGUACAGAAGGUCCGGGCGUUAUCCGGAUUUAUUGGGUUUAAAGGGAGCGUAGGCCGGAGAUUAAGCGUGUUGUGAAAUGUAGACGCUCAACGUCUGCACUGCAGCGCGAACUGGUUUCCUUGAGUACGCACAAAGUGGGCGGAAUUCGUGGUGUAGCGGUGAAAUGCUUAGAUAUCACGAAGAACUCCGAUUGCGAAGGCAGCUCACUGGAGCGCAACUGACGCUGAAGCUCGAAAGUGCGGGUAUCGAACAGGAUUAGAUACCCUGGUAGUCCGCACGGUAAACGAUGGAUGCCCGCUGUUGGUCUGAAUAGGUCAGCGGCCAAGCGAAAGCAUUAAGCAUCCCACCUGGGGAGUACGCCGGCAACGGUGCAACUCAAAGGAAUUGACGGA
rnacentral:rRNA from 1 species